rnacentral:rRNA from 1 species
UACGUAGGGACCAAGCGUUGUUCGGAUUUACUGGGCGUAAAGGGCGCGUAGGCGGCAUGACAAGUCACUUGUGAAAUCUCUGGGCUUAACCCAGAACGGCCAAGUGAUACUGUCGCGCUAGAGGUGCGGAAGGGGCAAUCGGGAAUUCUCGGUGUAGCGGUGAAAUGCGUAGAUAUCGAGAGGAACACCUGAGGUGAAGACGGGUUGCUGGGCCGACACUGACGCUGGAGUGACGGCGAAAGCCCAGGGGAGCAAAACGGG